rnacentral:rRNA from 1 species
CGGGGUGCAGCAGGCGCGAAAACUCUACAAUGCAGGCAACUGCGAUAGGGGAACAUCGAGUGAUCCUCAUAUUGGGGGUCUGUCCACCCGUCUAAAAAACGGGUGUUAGCAAGGGCCGGGCAAGACCGGUGCCAGCCGCCGCGGUAAUACCGGCGGCUCGAGUGGUGGCCGAUAUUAUUGAGUCUAAAGGGUCCGUAGCCGGCUUUGCAAGUCUCUCGGGAAAUCCAGCGGCUUAACCGUUGGUCGUCCGGGGGGUACUACAUUGCUUGGGACUGGGAGAGGUAGGAGGUACUCAGGGGGUAGAAGUGAAAUCCUGUAAUCCUUUGGGGACCACCGGUGGCGAAGGCGUCCUACCAGAACAGGUCCGACGGUGAGGGACGAAAGCUAGGGGCACGAACCGGAUUAGAUACCCGGGUAGUCCUAGCCGUAAACGAUGCUCGCUAGGUGUCACAACAGUCGUGAACUGUUGUGGUGCCGUAGGGAAGCCGUGAAGCGAGCCACUUGGGAAGUACGACCGCAAGAUUGAAACUUAAAGGAAUUGGCGG